CCUACGGGAGGCAGCAGUAGGGAAUCUUUCACAAUGGGCGAAAGCCUGAUGGAGCAACGCCGCGUGCAGGAUGAAGGCCUUCGGGUUGUAAACUGCUUUUAUAAGCGAGAAAUAUGAUGGUAACUUAUGAAUAAGGAUCGGCUAACUACGUGCCAGCAGCCGCGGUCAUACGUAGGAUCCGAGCAUUAUCCGGAGUGACUGGGUGUAAAGAGUUGCGUAGGUGGCAUAAUAAGUAGCUAGUGAAAUCUGGUGGCUCAACCAUUCAGACUAUUAGCUAAACUGUUAAGCUCGAGACCGUUAGGGGUAACUGGAAGUUCUAGUGUAGGAGUGAAAUCCGUAGGUAUUAGAAGGAACACCAAUAGCGUAGGCAGGUUGCUGGGACGGUUCUGACACUAAGGCACGAAAGCGUAGGGAGCAAACGGGAUUAGAUACCCCUGUAGUC
rnacentral:rRNA from 1 species